UCACUUUGCUACCCUGUGGUUUAAAACGUAUCAAUUUGCCCCCCUGUGGUUUCAUUUUUCUCUUUUUGUUAUCAAUUUUAUUAUUUUUUUUUCUUAAAUCAGUGACAAAAUUAAAAUUAAAGGAUACUAAAGUGAAUAUUCGAUAAACAUAGAUGGUUAUCUGAAGUUUUUUGUAUAUAAUUUAACGAAAUAUUAACGAAAAAGCUUCUGAAAAGAUAAAAACGAAACCACAGGGAGGCAAAUUGAUACGUUUUAAACCACAUGGUACUAAAAUGAGAAUGCAUGAAACCACAGGGGGGGUUUUUGAAGUUUUCCCUUAUGGGUAAAAAUUACAUAACUUAACAU
rnacentral:lncRNA from 1 species